rnacentral:sRNA from 1 species
AAAGCUUUUGGAAGUUUUGAUCUUCUUGACAACACAGACGUCCAUCUGCACUUCCCAGCUGGAGCUGUCACAAAAGAUGGACCAUCUGCUGGAGUUACCAUAGUAACCUGUCUCGCCUCACUUUUUAGUGGGCGGCUGGUACGUUCAGAUGUAGCCAUGACUGGAGAAAUUACACUGAGAGGUCUUGUUCUUCCAGUGGGUGGAAUUAAAGACAAAGUGCUGGCGGCACACAGAGCGGGACUGAAGCAAGUCAUUAUUCCUCGGAGAAAUGAAAAAGACCUUGAGGGAAUCCCAGGCAACGUACGACAGGAUUUAAGUUUUGUCACAGCAAGCUGCCUGGAUGAGGUUCUUAAUGCAGCUUUUGAUGGUGGCUUUACUGUCAAGACCAGACCUGGUCUGUUAAAUAGCAAACUAGGAAGGAGAUAUCAAAAAGGUCUGAAUAGACAACAGGCAAAUCUGCUUCCACCUACCAAAAGAGUUUUAGGUUGGCAGACAGAUGGGUGCCUUAUUUUCUGUGAAACUGAAGUUUUAAACACUGGCCAGAAAAUGUUUGAUUGCCAUUUCAACACAUGGAAAUAGUUACAUUGAUGCCUAAAUUGCCAUUUUCUGCAAAAAGCUGUGCAAUGCUGGUGUCAAAGACUAGACAGUCGCUAUUCAUAAUGGCUGUUGCAAUUCCUUCAUGAAUAGAUCGAGGAGUCGCUUCCCAAGUCAAUCGUCGCCUAUGACCAUUUAGCUCAAGUCGGUAAGCAAAAUUUUCAGCUUGCUUGCGUGUUCCUAUCAGCUGUACGAUUGCGAAGAACUGCUGGUGACCAUCGUAUU